GACGAACGCUGGCGGCGUGCCUAAUACAUGCAAGUAGGACGCAGUUGCGAACGGGUGAGUAACGCGUAGGUUACUGCCUAUUAUAGGGGUAUAACUAUUGGACACGAUAGCUAAUACCGCAUACUAGUAGAUGGACCUGCGUUGUAUUAGCUAGUAGGUAGGGUAAUGGCCUACCUAGUCGACGAUACAUUGCCGACAUGAGAGGGGGAUCGGCCACACUGGGAACUAGACACGGCACAGACUCCUACGGGAGGCAGCAGUAGGGAAUCUUCGGAAAUGGGGGGAACCAUGACCGAGCAACGCCGCGUGAGUGAAGAAGGUUUUCGGAUCGUAAAGCUCUGUUGUUAAUGAAGCGGUACUUAACCAGAAAGGGACGGCUAACUACGUGCCAGCAGCCGCGGUAAUAC
rnacentral:rRNA from 1 species